CUUUCACCUUCGAUUUCACUCUGGAAAGCCCCCGGGACCCAAGGGCGACGGCUGGAAGACAGCCCAAAGGAGUAGAUACAGUGCACCCUGGGAGGGGAAGCUGGGAGAAAGGAGGUCGAGGAGGAGGUGGUCGGUCGCCCCGCUGCUGCCUGGCAGCGCCUGGCACGGCUGAAUCUCAGCCACAGCGCUGUGUGUGCCAAGAGCUGCCAGGCGUAAGUCCGGUCAGCUGGAGAGACUUCUGAGACCGGGAGAGGAAGAACAGUACAGCCUGAUGCCUAUGGGCUCCUUUGGCUGUAUUCCCACCCAGCAGAUUGAAUCUCCUUGGAUAGCCAUACCUGCUGGAAUCAGCCCAACUUCAUCACGCAUCUUUGGACUCUGUAUGCUGGACUGCGAGAGAGUUCCCUCAUGAAAUCACCCAACAGCUGGGAGAAUGGAGCAACCCCACUUGUCAUCUGUUCACUCAGUAUCCAUCUAUGCUGUUGGUUCUGUAAGAUUUCCCUUGAGAUUAAAAUGUUGAAAGACAGCUUCAUUCUUUCCGUGCUCCAGUCCUUUUCAUAACACCUGCUCCAUAAAUGCACAUCACUCAAGUGGAAUUGUAUUUUGUGUAAAUCUGGUUUGAUAAACUGUAAAAAUGGCAAAACAUACAUUUAAAGAAGUUGGCAUUCAUAUAUCAUGCUGGGUACUUCUUUAAAAAAUAAUUCUAAACUAUGGCAUAUCAUUAAGAGGAGAAGGAUAGAACUGCCAGAGAGAAAAGGCCUUCAGUCCAGAUGAAGUUAUGACUUUGUGCAGUGAGUUCCUUCCUCUGGAAAGAAGUAUUAGCUGCAAUAAUCUGGCCACAUUCCAAGUUGGUCAAUGGUAUGCUGCCUCCCUAAAUUCUGCAGCUUCGAUUACAUUCAUUGUCCUAGUGCACUUCCUGUCAGGAAUGGUCGCAUUGAUCUGCCAGUUAAAACAGCUGUUGCUUCUGAUGCAUGAGAAACUACUAAAGUCAGUCUCUUAUCCAUCACCGAUGUAGGAGUUAGAAAUUGAAAGCCCAGUGACCAGGAGAGACAGAGGUAGAGAGAGAGAGAGAGAGAGAGAGAGAGAAAGGAAGAGAAAGGAAGAAGAAGAAGAAGAGGAAGAGGAAGAGGAAGAAGAAGAAGAGGAAGAGGAAGAAGAGGAAGAGGAGGAAGAGCAGGAAGAGGGAGAAGAGAGAGAACAUCGUUCUGAAGUAUUUUCAACUGCUCUUCAUUUAUUUUAAUAUAUUCCCUCAACUUGUCUAUUAAUUGGCAAAAAAACAACUUGAUUACACUUAUUUUGAGUUUUUAAGAUUUUCCAGACAUUCCAAUUAGAAUAGACUGACCUACUUUUCUUGGUGAUAACACAAAAGAGAUUAGUUUUGUCAGUUGUACUGUGUAUCUAAAAAUCAGCACCACAAAAGCCAUAUAUUGAACACUUUUUGUUAGCAUGAUGCUAUUUUGCCUAAUACAUAUUCUUGCCUUGUAAAACACCCAAAAUUUUGCUUCCAUAUAAAUAUGCUGAUCACAAAAUAAUCUUUACCUUUUUUAAAAAUAAUAAGAUGAUCUAUGUCUAUUUUCCCAUUCCCAGGCAGAGAAGAAAUAAGAACUGCAUUUUGCCCCCAGUUAAGCUACACAUAUUGCUUGAUGUUUUUCUCCACUUCCACAUUGAGCAUCAAGAUAUUUAAAACUUCCAACAGCCUGAAAAUAUUCAAGUAAAUUGAAUGGGGUAAAAAAAAAACCAAAAUUUUGCCUUUUAUGGUUAAAGACAAAUUCCCCAAACAGUGCAGGCACACAGUGGUUUCAUAGUUAGUGCUUACUGGACUGAAUUAUUGCAUCCUUUUUCUGCAUUUAUUUCUAGGAAGCAGUUUAAAGUACAAAAUAUAUUUAAAUAUUGAUUUUUUUAAGAAAACCUUGGCUUCUAUGAUGAAGUCCAACUUAACAGCAUAUGUUAAAUCAUUAAUUCUAUUAGAAAGUGAUGAGUACCAACAGUAGAGAGAAAUAUGCUACAGUUACUUGUUUAUACACAGUCUUCCUAUUUUUAUAUAUUUUUUUAGUUACUAAAAUGGAACCAUAAGCCAGAGGGCAAUGCGUUCUUUCUCUCUACCACCAGAUGCACACAAUUGAACUAUUGCUUACAAGGAGGAUCCUUGUUAUUUCACAUGCGAUCAUCAAGAAACACAUGGAGAGUGAUUAUGUGUUCUACGUCCUGCUGACUGUUUCAAAGCAAAUAAAAGUUCAUCUGUAUUUUCUGAAUUUUGAUUUGUAAACAAUGAUCACUUAGAAUGAGUAAGAUGCAGCUUCAGAAAUAUCUGAUUAUGUGUUCUACGUCCUGCUGACUGUUUUAAAGCAAAUAAAAGU
rnacentral:lncRNA from 1 species